CAGUCGCCGCGGGAAUACGUAGGUGGCGAGCGUUGUCCGGAUUUAUUGGGCGUAAAGGGAGUGUAGGCGGUCUUUUAAGUCUGAUGUGAAAGCCCCCGGCUCAACCGGGGAGGGUCAUUGGAAACUGGGAAACUUGAGUGCAGAAGAGGAGAGUGGAAUUCCACGUGUAGCGGUGAAAUGCGUAGAGAUGUGGAGGAACACCAGUGGCGAAGGCGACUCUCUGGUCUGUAACUGACGCUGAGGAGCGAAAGCGUGGGGAGCGAACAGGAUUAGAUACCCGGGUAGUCCCUGUCUCUUAUAC
rnacentral:rRNA from 1 species